rnacentral:rRNA from 2 species
ACAAUGGAGAGUUUGAUCCUGGCUCAGGAUGAACGCUAGCGGCAGGCCUAAUACAUGCAAGUCGAACGGUGGUAGCAAUACCAUAGUGGCGCACGGGUGCGUAACGCGUAACCAACCUGCCCUUGACUGGGGGAUAGCCCGCCGAAAGGCGGAUUAAUACCGCAUAAUCUAAGGUGGCGGCAUCGUCUCUUUAGGAAAGAUUUAUUGGUCAAGGAUGGGGUUGCGUAGCAUUAGCUAGUUGGCGGGGUAACGGCCCACCAAGGCGACGAUGCUUAGGGGAGCUGAGAGGCUGGUCCCCCACACGGGCACUGAGAUACGGGCCCGACUCCUACGGGAGGCAGCAGUAGGGA